rnacentral:rRNA from 1 species
UACGUAGGGUGCGAGCGUUUGUCCGGAAUUAUUGGGCGUAAAGAGCUUGUAGGCGGUUUGUCGCGUCUGCCGUGAAAAUUCGAGGCUCAACCUCGAACUUGCGGUGGGUACGGGCAGACUAGAGUGUGGUAGGGGAGACUGGAAUUCCUGGUGUAGCGGUGAAAUGCGCAGAUAUCAGGAGGAACACCGGUGGCGAAGGCGGAUCUCUGGGCCAUUACUGACGCUGAGGAGCGAAAGCGUGGGGAGCGAACAGG